rnacentral:tRNA from 1 species
GGUAAGAUGGCCGAGCGGUCUAAGGCGCUAGCUUCAGGUGCUAGUCUCGCAAGAGGCGUGGGUUCGAAUCCCACUCUUAUCA